rnacentral:rRNA from 1 species
AGGUUACUGCUAUCGGUGUUCGCCUAAGCCAUGCGAGUCAUAUGUUCUUCGUGAACAUGGCGUACUGCUCAGUAACACGUGGAUAACCUGCCCUUAGGUCCGGCAUAACCCCGGGAAACUGGGGAUAAUUCCGGAUAACGCACAUAUGCUGGAAUGCUUUAUGCGUCAAAUGGAUUCGUCCGCCCAAGGAUGGGUCUGCGGCCUAUCAGGUAGUAGUGGGUGUAAUGUACCUACUAGCCUACGACGGGUACGGGUUGUGAGAGCAAGAGCCCGGAGAUGGAUUCUGAGACAUGAAUCCAGGUCCUACGGGGCGCAGCAGGCGCGAAAACUUUACAAUGCGGGAAACCGUGAUAAGGGGACACCGAGUGCCAGCAUCAUAUGCUGGCUGUCCGGGUGUGUAAAAUACACCUGUUAGCAAGGGCCGGGCAAGACCGGUGCCAGCCGCCGCGGUAACACCGGCGGCCCGAGUGGUGAUCGUGAUUAUUGGGUCUAAAGGGUCCGUAGCCGGUUUGGUCAGUCCUCCGGGAAAUCUGACGGCUUAACCGUUAGGCUUUCGGGGGAUACUGCCAGACUUGGAACCGGGAGAGGUAAGAGGUACUACAGGGGUAGGAAUGAAAUCUUGUAAUCCCUGUGGGACCACCUGUGGCGAAGGCGUCUUACCAGAACGGGUUCGACGGUGAGGGACGAAAGCUGGGGGCACGAACCGGAUUAGAUACCCCGGGUAGUCCCAGCCGUAAACGAUGCUCGCUAGGUGUCAGGCAUGGCGCGACCGUGUCUGGUGCCGCAGGGAAGCCGUGAAGCGAGCCACCUGGGGAAGUACGGCCGCAAGGCUGAAACUUAA